CAGUUCGGAUCGCAGGCUGCAACCCGCCUGCGUGAAGUUGGAAUUGCUAGUAAUCGCGGAUCAGCAUGCCGCGGUGAAUACGUUCCCGGGCCUUGUACACACCGCCCGUCACACCAUGGGAGCCGGUAAUACCCGAAGUCAGUAGUCUAACCGCAAGGGGGGCGCUGCCGAAGGUAGGAUUGGCGACUGGGGUGAAGUCGUAACAAGGUAGC
rnacentral:rRNA from 1 species